AUUGAACGCUGGCGGCAGGCUUAACACAUGCAAGUCGAGCGAGCGGCGGACGGGUGAGUAAUGUCUGGGAAACUGCCUGAUGGAGGGGGAUAACUACUGGAAACGGUAGCUAAUACCGCAUACCAUCAGAUGUGCCCAGAUGGGAUUAGCUAGUAGGUGGGGUAAUGGCUCACCUAGGCGACGAUCCCUAGCUGGUCUGAGAGGAUGACCAGACAAACUGGAACUGGGACACGGGACAGAAUCCGACGGGAGGAAGUAGGGGGGAAUAGUGCACAAGGGGAGAAAGCCGGAUGCAGCCAUGCCGCGGGUGUGAAGAAGGCAUUCGGGUUGUAAAGCAAUUUCAGCGAGGAGGCGUUACUCGAAGAAGAAGCACCGGCUAACUCCGUGCCAGCAGCCGCGGUAAUUC
rnacentral:rRNA from 1 species